GGACUCUCAACCACUGCGCCACCAGGGAAGCCCCAUAUUCUUGAUUUUAUUAUUUACCACCUAGUAUAAUUAAGAAAAGAAAUGAGAUUUUGGAAUAAUCAAUACUUCUGUAACAAUUGUUGAUAUACACAUUCACUUCAGGAUCGGAGAAUGAUCUUUUUACAGAAAUCCAGAUUUUCAGAUCACUAAUCCUAGAAUAGGAUCUAAUUCUCCAUCCUCUUAGAGUUGGGAUUCAAAUACCAGUUUUGUGCUUUAAUAGUUGAGUAAUCUUUGGCAAAGUUAUUUUAUUUCCUCUGUGUCUUUUUUUUUUAAUAAAAUGGAGAUGAUGUUGUGGGAUGUUCCCAUUUGCAAUUAUCCAGUGGCCACCAAAGGCUGAGUAGGCCAGCUCUGCCACUGAUGGAUGUGAAAACUCUUUGGCUCAGCACACUAUGUCUAUAGGAAGCUACAUGUAUUAAAAAUAAAGACUCACAGCUAAACCAAAACGUUCAAUUUCUGGGCCCCCCUUUGAAGAAUAAGAAGAUUUCCCCCAUUUUCUCUUUAUGGCAGGAGAAUUAAAUUUGAUUAAGCCACAGUGAGGUUCUGGAGGAAGUUUCUUAGAGAAGAUGGGUCUUUCAAGGAGAGUCCUUCCAAGGGUGAAACUUCAUCCACAUCACUGUGCUAGUUCUUAAUGGUCGAAAGCUGCCUAUCUACCAUUUUCCUGCUAUUGGAAUGUUCAUCUUCUCCCUCCUCCACUUAGUGCUGAGGCCAAGACAAGGAGCCACAGGGGCUUCAGGCCACCAACGGGCAUCCACCAAGGUUUGUCCCAAAGCUGGUCAUCACAGACCUAGGAGCGCUGCCCUUCAGAAGCCACAGUACCCUGUGAAGCGUGCUGGUUUCUGAAUAAAGGGAGUGAGCAUUUUAGUUUGUGAGAUGUCAGGAUGCAGGAGAGCGUGUGAGACAUUAAGCAGUUUGGUGCGGUUGGCUGGACACCUGUAGGAAAUGGGUUGAGGAAGAUGAGGACCAGAUGGGACUGGGUCAAAAAUGGCUGGAAGUAAAACUAAACCCAACUAGCUGACUGGUCACUUUCUUCUUUGUGUCCUUACUCCACACUGCAUGGAUUUCUAUUCUGCUAUUUUUCAGAAUUGGUUAUACUUAUAAAAUAUAAGUUGCCUUUACUUCACUAUAAAACCCUGAGGAAGAAGAAUGUUUGUUGCAUUCCUUUCUAUCCCAAAUGGCCCAUACAGUGCUUGGCUCCACAGGACUGUAUAGUAUUAUAUGAUUGUAGCCCAACUGGUUAUUAUGAGCAUGGAUAACAGAAUGAAAUAGACUUGGGACUGAGUCAUGACCUGUUACUACCUACCAUGACCUUGUACAACUUAAUUGCCUGAGCACCAGAAUAUUAGUAAUAAAAUAAUAAUAACUAAUAAUAAUUAUUAUUUUUAGUUAUUAUUAUAACAUUUCUUUAGAGUCAACUAUGUGCCAGGCAUUGAUAAACUUUUUACAUGCAUUAUCUUAUUUAAUUCUCAUAUAAACUGCAUCAUAGGUAUGAUUUUAUUCCAAUUAUUCAAUUGAUAAAUAGCAAUGCAUACAUAUUAUGACUCACUGAAGUUAUAGAUACUGAAAAAUAAAUAAAGUACUUAAAUUGUUGCUUGUUUGUUUUCCAUCACAGUCUGAGCAAGAAAACUAAUGCCGAAGCUAGAUAAGCAGAACGUAGAUUGUCCCCACGCAUUAGUUGUGUGCUACUGUGUAAUUACUCCAAAACACAGUGGCUUAGAACAGCAGUAAACAUUUAUUAUCUCACACAGCUUUUGUAGGUCAGGCGUCCUACAGGCGUCAGGAGCAGCUUGACUGGGUAUUUCUGGCUCAGGCUCUCUUGUGAAAUUGUAGUCAAGAUUUUGGCUGGGAUGCAGUCAUUUGAAGGCUUCCUUGGGCUGGCGGAUCCACUUUGAAGAUGGUGCACUCACAUGCUCCACAAGUGAUUGCAGGCUGCUGACAAGAGGCUGCAGUACCUUGCCAUAUGAUGUCUCCAUAGGGUUGCUUGAGUGUCCUCAUAACAUGGCAGCUGGCAUCUCACAGAGUGGGUGAUUCCAGAAAAGACAAGGCUAAAGCCACACUGACUUUUAUGACCUAGCCUUAAAAGCCAUACUCUGUCAUUUUGAAAUACUCCUUUAGUUAUACCCCUAUUCAAGAGCAUGAAAAUCAGGAAGCAAGACUCAUUGGAGGCCAUCUUGCAGCGUGCCUACUGCCAUGUGGGUUAAGAGGAUGAGAAAGAAAGAUCACAGCGUCAAGUCUACACAAAAGUUAGUAUGGCUCAAGACAGGUUGGGAUGAGUAGUUGAAAGCUAAAGAUAUGAACAAUGCAGAAGUGAGAGAAGCCAGAUUUUAUGUGGCUAUGUGUGUGUGUUUCAGGAUGGGGAACGUGACUUAAGUGAUCUACCUGUGUAGAGACGGACUUUCUUUGAAAACUUGAAUACCCUUUUUGAAAGAUUGGGUGGGGGAAAUGUAGAGAGCAUGGAUAACAUUCAUCUCAGAUACACAAACAGGGGAAAAUGUAUAAACGAGACACACCCUUCAGAAGAAAGUCUGAAAGUUAGUGACCUUUUACCAGACUCUUGUGUUUUAGAUAAAAGAGAAUGUGCUCCAGAUAAUGCCUGUAACUGGCCCAAAAGAUGAUGUCACUGAAUUGAACCUGCAAUUUAAGUAGAAAUAAAAGGAAAAAAAAAAAUCAUGACGAUAAAGAAGUAAUAAAGACCUGGUUUGAAAAACAAAAAUUCCUAUUUGGCAAUAUCUUGGGGAGGAAAAAAUGAUGGUAUUUAGAUCAGCAAAUCUGGGUCAAAUGCAUCUCAAGGAAUUAGCAGAAAAGAGUGGAGGGGGGAAAAACUGAGAUUUUUGAACAGGAAAUGCAUGGCUCCUGCAAAGAAGUUAUAUACUUUUUAUUAUUUUCCAGCUCAAGUGGUUGACCUGCGUUCAUGGUCAAGUUCAGAGGUCAAUUUUGUGAUGGCUCAUCGAAUUAUAUCUAAAGUCCAGAGUCAUGUGGGCUCUUCCGUGGGGCUCCCUUCCCACCACCCCCGCCCUGCAAUCAUGCUGAGGAAGAAAGCCAGGGCACUGACCUCUCCUGACUCGCACACCAGAUCAUCUACAUGGGUACCUUGGGGAUUACCAUUAACUUUCUGAGGAAUCACGAGGCAGCCUGAAGUUAACCAGCACCUGGGAAAAAUAAGACAGAUGUUAUUAUCUCCAUUUUAUUCACCGGAAAUCAAAGCUCAGAGAGAAAAAUGUGUGCCCAAGAUGUGCUGGCUUGUCACUGACUCACCAUUGCAGCCGCCUUGAGAGCAUCCUCAAAGGUCUCCUACAACUCAGAGUGUGGUAUGAAGAUUGGAAGCAUUAGCAUCACCUGACACCCAAUCUGCUAAGACGAGCAUCUGCAUUUUAACCAGACCCCCCAGAAGACAGGGUGUGAGAAGUGCUGCUCUGGACCACUGAGCUGGAGACUGAAAACUGCAUCUCCCAGACUCUACCAUCAGCUAGUGAUGUGUGGUCAGAUACUCUCUCAUGAUGCUGGGCAGUGACAGCUAGCUGCAACUCCCUCUCGGCCACAGACCUGAGGAUAAAUAAUCCAUACACCGACAACCGUUCUGUAAGCAUACAACCGUUCUCUUUUUCACUUUCAGUACAGGACACAAUAAGUUACAUGAGAUAUUCAACACUUUAUUAUAAAAUAGGCUUUGUUUUAGAUAAUUAUGCCCUACUGUAGGCUAACGUAAAUGUUCUGAGCACGUUUAAGGUAGGCAAGGCUAAGCUAUGACGGUCGGUAGAUUAGGCGUAUUAAAUGUAUUUUUGACUUGAUAUUUUCAACUUAUGAUGGGUUUAUAGGGACUUAACCCUGUCGUAACUUGAGAAAGAUCUGUAUAUCAAAAGCA